UUAAAUUGACUCGGACCGGGUUUCGCUUACCGUCUCUUGUGAUCUGUCUGAUUAAAAAUGGAUGAUGGCCAUUAAUGGCCAGGGCAGCCCCAUUGCUGCCCUAAGGUUCCAGGGUGGGAACUACUGGAUAGUUCUGCUGCCAGGUGGGCAAGUCCGGGUUGUUGGGGAGCCGGGACCCUAAGAAACUCCAGAACAGGUAAGAGAGUUCUUUGGAGGGGCUCAAGCUACAGCCUCAGAAGUAGCCCCAGAGGGGCGGAGAAGCACUCUGUUGAGGUGACCCCAGCUCACCAGCGAGAAGAGAGAAGACCCUGGCUUCUCAGAGGCUCUGGACUCAGCCCUGCGCUCCACGGUGCCCAAAGAGGACAGCGGUACUUAGGAAAGGCUCAGCGCAUCCAGACCUUUUGACCCCCGGGGAAGCCACGUUGGUUGAGGCGAUAUAAAACAGACACAGGCACACAGGAGGACUCCCCGAAGAGAAAAACUAAUGGGGAAAUUUCAAGGUCGCUGUGAGGAAGAAAAAAAAAAAGUAAAAGCUAAAGGACACACAGAGACCGAACAAAUCCAGUAAUGAGCCAACCUUUCUCUCCUCAAGAGAAAUAGAUCAAGAAGAUCCGGAUGGGAGAAGUUUCCAAUCGUCACUCAGACAAGAGACUGCAUGGGACUUCCUUGAGCACAGGGGGUUUCUAGGCUCUCGUGAAGCCAAACCAUUUUUCUGGCCAUGAUCUAUGGGGAAGACUGGGGCCUAGUCCAUACAGCUUAAUCGACAGUGCUUUCAGCCUAUAGCCAGAUGGGGAUGGAAGAGAUUUGCUCUGAUACAGUGCUGAUUGUGUUAUUUUCUGUCUCCCUGUUCCUUUGCUGAGAUUACAUUGAAAAUGUUUACUAAACAUGGUCUGUAUUCAAGGAGAACUGUAUUGAUAAAAAUAAAAAUUCUCCCAAGAAUGAUGUGACCUCAGUUCUGCAUGCCAGUUUCA